rnacentral:lncRNA from 1 species
CCUAUUACUUUUAAGUAGGUAAGAUUCUACACGCACUUGGAAAUGUCUUCUGACUUUACAUUUGAAACUGUGCACGCACAUGCAUUCACAAAGGGAAAAGCAAUGAUAAAUGUUCUCAUUUGCAUUAGAACUGAACACCCAGUGCAGGCAGCUGCCGCAUGGUUAUUACAAUUUCAGACUGAUAUAUGAGUUGGAAAAU